GCGUGAGGGAAGACUGCCCUAUGGGUUGUAAACCUCUUUUAUAAGGGAAGAAUAAGUUCUACGUGUAGAAUGAUGCCUGUACCUUAUGAAUAAGCAUCGGCUAACUCCGUGCCAGCAGCCGCGGUAAUACGGAGGAUGCGAGCGUUAUCCGGAUUUAUUGGGUUUAAAGGGUGCGUAGGCGGUUUAUUAAGUUAGUGGUUAAAUAUUUGAGCUAAACUCAAUUGUGCCAUUAAUACUGGUAAACUGGAGUACAGACGAGGUAGGCGGAAUAAGUUAAGUAGCGGUGAAAUGCAUAGAUAUAACUUAGAACUCCGAUAGCGAAGGCAGCUUACCAGACUGUAACUGACGCUGAUGCACGAGAGCGUGGGUAGCGAACAGGAUUAGAUACCCUGGUAGUCCACGCCGUAAACGAUGCUCACUGGUUCUGUGCGAUAUAUUGUACGGGAUUAAGCGAAAGUAUUAAGUGAGCCACCUGGGGAGUACGUCGGCAACGAUGAAACUCAAAGGAAUUGACGGGGGCCCGCACAAGCGGAGGAACAUGUGGUUUAAUUCGAUGAUACGCGAGGAACCUUACCUGGGUUUAAAUGGGAAAUGUCGUAUUUGGAAACAGAUAUUCUCUUCGGAGCGUUUUUCAAGGUGCUGCAUGGUUGUCGUCAGCUCGUGCCGUGAGGUGUCGGGUUAAGUCCCAUAACGAGCGCAACCCUUACCGUUAGUUGCUAGCAUGUAAUGAUGAGCACUCUAACGGGACUGCCACCGUAAGGUGAGAGGAAGGCGGGGAUGACGUCAAAUCAGCACGGCCCUUACACCCAGGGCUACACACGUGUUACAAUGGCCGGUACAGAGGGCCGCUACCAGGUGACUGGAUGCCAAUCUCAAAAGCCGGUCGUAGUUCGGAUUGGAGUCUGUAACCCGACUCCAUGAAGUUGGAUUCGCUAGUAAUCGCGCAUC
rnacentral:rRNA from 1 species